rnacentral:lncRNA from 1 species
UAUUAAGGACACUGGAUAAAGGAAAACUAGAAGAGGAAAUAAUCCAUGGAAGUGAUUAUGCUUGGGGUGAAAGGGAGCAGAUUACUAAUUUGGAAACCAAUGUCAUGGUCAAGUGACUGGAGUUUGUGACAGCAUUUGAUGUGCAACCCUUAAACAGCAACGAAACAAACAACGGGAAUGAAGAUUCAACUACAUAGAUGGAUGACGACGACUCUUCGCAGCAGGAUGCUAAGCUGAACCUCUCUGAUUCAAGUAGUCAGGUAUCUGAGGUUAGUGAAAGUGGCGCGUCUGUGGUACCUUUGGGUGGGUCAAGUGCUCAAAAUUGUGAAAACCCGACUGAAUUCAUGUC